CGCUGGCGGCGUGCCUAACACAUGCAAGUCGAGCGGAGAAUACAGAAAUGUUUACAUGGAUGUAUUCUUAGCGGCGGACGGGUGAGUAACACGUGGGUAACCUGCCUCAAAGAGGGGGAUAGCCUUCCGAAAGGAAGAUUAAUACCGCAUAAGCUUACAGCAUCGCAUGAUGCCGUAAGAAAAGGAGUAAUCCGCUUUGAGAUGGACCCGCGGCGCAUUAGCUAGUUGGUGAGGUAACGGCUCACCAAGGCCACGAUGCGUAGCCGACCUGAGAGGGUGAUCGGCCACAUUGGAACUGAGACACGGUCCAGACUCCUACGGGAGGCAGCAGUGGGGAAUAUUGCACAAUGGGCGAAAGCCUGAUGCAGCAACGCCGCGUGAGUGAUGAAGGCUUUCGAGUCGUAAAGCUCUUUGAUCAGGGAUGAUAAUGACAGUACCUGAAAAACAAGCCACGGCUAACUACGUGCCAGCAGCCGCGGUAAUACGUAGGUGGCGAGCGUUGUCCGGAAUUACUGGGCGUAAAGGAUGCGUAGGUGGAUACUUAAGUGGGAUGUGAAAUCCCCGGGCUCAACCCGGGAACUGCAUUCCAAACUGGGUACCUAGAGUGCAGGAGAGGAAAGCGGAAUUCCUAGUGUAGCGGUGAAAUGCGUAGAUAUUAGGAGGAACACCAGUGGCGAAGGCGGCUUUCUGGACUGUAACUGACACUGAGGCAUGAAAGCGUGGGUAGCAACAGGAUUAAAUACCCUGGUAGUCCCGCCGUAAACAAUGGUACUAGGUGUAGGA
rnacentral:rRNA from 1 species